rnacentral:rRNA from 1 species
AUGGAACUCCCAUCUAUUGCCACACGAAGGGACCUGGAGUGCAUCCUAUCUGAUGAAACGGCAGAGCCCAUGGCCCUGCCACUGCCACUUCUGCAAGAUAUCACCGAUGAUUUCUCUAAAGAGCAUGAAAUUGGCAGAGGUGGGUUUACGGUGGUUUAUAAGGGAAAGCUUGGGAAUAGGAAUGUGGCAGUUCAGAGGUUUUCCAGUACGCAUAUCAUUGAAAACAUGUUCCAACAAGAACUUGAAUGUCUCCUGAAGGUGAAACACAAAAAUGUAGUACGGUUUCUAGGGUAUUGUGUUAACACACAGGGAUUUUUGGCAACCUACAAUGGAAAAAUGGUCAUGGUGGAUGUACCAGAACGGUUGCUCUGCUUCGAGUAUCUUCCUAAAGGGAGUCUUGAUAAGUAUAUCACUGAUACAUCUCACAAACUUCAGUGGACAGACUGCUUUCGAAUUAUCACAGGAAUUUGUCAGGGGUUAAAUUAUCUCCAUCAGAAAAACAUUGUCCACUUAGAUCUAAAGCCCACAAACAUACUUUUGGAUGAUAAGUUCGUGCCGAAAAUUACUGGUUUCACUUUAUCUAGGUGCGCUGUUGAAUCAGAAGACUGGGCUACUGCUUUAGUCUGUGGAACAUUUGCAUAUAUGCCACCAGAAUGGCAUGAUGCUACUAAAAUGACAUACCGGUAUGCGUACGAUCGUGAUAUGUACAGUGUUGGUGUAAUAAUCAUGGAGAUACUCACUGGAAAGAGGUGUUGUCAUCAUGACAUUGACAUGGUAGUUGAAAGUUGGAGUGACAUGGUGGAAAAAUCACAUAGCGACGUACAGAUGGAACAGGUACGCAUAUGUGCUGAGAUAGCAAUAGAGUGCAUCGACUUCAACGCGGCAAAGAGACCGGAUACACAACAUAUAAUCAGUAGACUCGAUCAGAUAAAAACUAUGGGCGGAUAUGUCAAAACUGGCAUGAUUACUUCACAUCAGGCCGAAGAUGCUCCAACUGAACUUCAUCUAGAUACACCUGACACGCCAAGAGAGGCAAGCUCCAAGGUGCGCUCUCAUUUGAAAGUACAUGUAACUAGUGGUGUUAAAGAUUGGCGUCGGUGCUAUCUCAAAGCGGAACUUGAAGAAAAGAAAGAUUUGGGCGGCCAUUGA